GACAUGACUCUCGACAAUGGAUAUCUUGGCUCUUGCAUCGAUGAAGAGCGCAGCGAAAUGCGAUACGUGGUGCGAAUUGCAGAAUCCCGUGAACCAUCGAGUCUUUGAACGCAAGUUGCGCCCGAGGCUAGCUAGCUAAGGGCACGUCCGCCUGGGCGUCAAGC
rnacentral:rRNA from 1 species